rnacentral:hammerhead_ribozyme from 1 species
AUAUAGCUGACGAGUUCAAAAUAGGACGAGACUCGCGUCCUGGAU